rnacentral:rRNA from 1 species
AGCGAACGCUGGCGGCAGGCCUAAUACAUGCAAGUCGAGCGGCCCUUCGGGGCAGCGGCGGACGGGUGAGUAACGCGUGGGAAUAUGCCCUUUGGUACGGAACAACUGAGGGAAACUUCAGCUAAUACCGUAUGUGCCCUUCGGGGAAAGAUUUAUCGCCAUUGGAGUAGCCCGCGUUGGAUUAGGUAGUUGGUGAGGUA